CUUGGAUACUCUGACUUAUGGGUAUCGCUUCCCUUCGGGUCUGUGAUGACCUUUUCAACAACCAGAAAAUAGCUGUUGGCCUAUACAAGAUUCUUGAAGAAAAAAAAAAGAGAAGAAAGGUGGAACCGAGAGAGGAGCCCGGGAGGUGAGGAGCAGCCAUGGGAAUUCUCCAAAAGGAAAACCUCCAACAAUCGAAAUGGCAUCACUAAAGCCGAGGUCUGCACCUGGAAGGCCGCCUCCAGCAAGCCUGGGAUUAAAAGUGUCAUUUCCGGCUCUAAUGUCUUCCCGUCCACAGACGGACGAGCAGUCUGCAGACCAGGCUCGGAAUAUGGCCUCCGACCCAGGCUGGGUGGGCUCAGACAUCCUCCUCCCAGAGCUCCCUCUCUGUCAGGGAACACUGUCAUCAGCCCUUGAGGGACCAGGCAGAGUAGGGAAGGCUCCAGCAAGGCUCCAGCACCCUGAGUCCUGCCACCAUCCUGUGUCAGAGUCGUUCAGCUGUGCUGCAGCCACUCUGUGGUUUAAGA